UGAACGUAUAAAAAAUUCAUGGUUUAAUGAGGAAAAGAAAUCUGCUUUAGAACACGCUAACAAGGAUGCUGAAAAAUAUGCUGAUAUGGUUCACGAUAAUUUAAAUAAAGUUGCAAAAUAUUUCGAAAAAAAUAAUAAUAUAUUGAAUUACUGUUUUACUGCAGAGUCUGUGCUUUUUGAUUGUCUACCAGAACUCAGGAAAGAUGUAAAAUGCUAAAAAAUAUGCCUUAUUCUAUUGACUUUCUGUGGUUUUUCAUUUAAAGUUUUAUCGUUCAAUUAUUCGUUUAAAGUCCCAAGUUUUCAGCUUUUCCUGAAAUUAUAUUUUUUAACACAAUUCAUGAAAAAUUUAUAUUUGUAAAAUUUUAUGAUUUUGCCUUCAAAUGUUUUUUCUCUGUUGAAUACAUUCAUAUAUAUUUUUG